rnacentral:rRNA from 1 species
AACGCUAGCUACAGGCUUAACACAUGCCAGUCGAGGGCAGCAUAAAAGUAGCAAUACUUUGGUGGCGACCGGCGCACGGGUGAGUAACGCGUAUGCAACCUACCUAUCAGAGGGGAAUAACCCGGCGAAAGUCGGACUAAUACCGCAUAAAACAGGGGCACCGCAUGGUGAUAUUUGUUAAAGAAAUUCGCUGAUAGAUGGGCAUGCGUUCCAUUAGGUAGUUGGUGAGGUAACGGCUCACCAAGCCGACGAUGGAUAGGGGAACUGAGAGGUUGGUCCCCCACACUGGUACUGAGACACGGACCAGACUCCUACGGGAGGCAGCAGUGAGGAAUAUUGGUCAAUGGGCGAGAGCCUGAACCAGCCAAGUCGCGUGAAGGAAGAAGGAUCUAUGGUUCGUAAACUUCUUUUGCAGGGGAAUAAAGUGCAGGACGUGUCCUGUUUUGUAUGUACCCUGAGAAUAAGGAUCGGCUAACUCCGUGCCAGCAGCCGCGGUAAUACGGAGGAUCCGAGCGUUAUCCGGAUUUAUUGGGUUUAAAGGGUGCGUAGGUGGUUUGAUAAGUCAGCGGUGAAAGUUUGCAGCCUAGCUGUAAAAAUGCCGUUGAAACUGUCGGACUUGAGUGUAAAUGAGGUAGGCGGAAUGCGUGGUGUAGCGGUGAAAUGCUUAGAUAUCACGAAGAACUCCGAUUG